UACGGAGGGUGCGAGCGUUGUCCGGAAUCACUGGGCGUAAAGGGCGCGUAGGCGGCUCAUGAAGGCUGUGGUGAAAGUCCGGGGCUCAACCUCGGAUCGGCCGUGGCGACUCGUGGGCUGGAGCACUGUAGAGGCGGGUGGAAUUCCGGGUGUAGCGGUGGAAUGCGUAGAGAUCCGGAAGAACACCAGUGGCGAAGGCGGCUCGCUGGGCAGUGGCUGACGCUGAAGCGCGACAGCGUGGGGAGCAAACAGG
rnacentral:rRNA from 1 species